UACGAAGGGGGCUAGCGUUGUUCGGAAUACUGGGCGUAAAGCGUGCGCAGGCGGUUUUGUAAGUCUGACGUGAAAUCCCCGGGCUUAACCUGGGAAUUGCGUUGGAGACUGCAAGGCUGGAGUCUGGCAGAGGGGGGUAGAAUUCCACGUGUAGCAGUGAAAUGCGUAGAGAUGUGGAGGAACACCGAUGGCGAAGGCAGCCCCCCUGGGUCAAGACUGACGCUCAUGCACGAAAGCGUGGGGAGCAAACAGG
rnacentral:rRNA from 1 species